GCUGGAUGCAGUGGCACACAGCUGAAGCCCCAGUUACUUGGACAGCGGAGGCAAGAGGAUUGCUUGAGUACAGUUCUGGGCUGCAACACACUAUGCUGCCCAGAUGUUCACUCUAGGUUUGUCAUUAAUAUGGUUACCUCCUGGAAGCAGCAGACCAUAGGUUGCCUAAGGAGGGAUGAACCAGCCCACAUCAGAAACAGAGUGGGUCAAACCUCUUAUGUUGACCAGUAGUGGGAUCAUGCUUGUGGAUAGCCACUGCACUCUUAUCCUGGGAAACAUUGUGAGACCUGGUCU
rnacentral:SRP_RNA from 1 species